AGAGUUUGAUCCUGGCUCAGAAUCAACGCUGGCGGCGCGCCUAACACAUGCAAGUCGAACGAGAAAGGGGAGCAAUCCCUGAGUACAGUGGCGUACGGGUGAGUAACACGUGGAUAAUCUACCUCUUGGUGGGGAAUACCGCUGGGAAACCGGCGACAAUACCGCAUAAGCUCGGGAGAGGAAAGCAGCAAUGCGCCGAGAGAGGAGUCCGCGGCCGAUUAGCUAGUUGGCAGGGUAAAAGCCUACCAAGGCGAAGAUCGGUAGCCGGCCUGAGAGGGCACACGGCCACACUGGCACUGAAACACGGGCCAGACUCCUACGGGAGGCAGCAGUGGGGAAUCUUGCACAAUGGGGGAAACCCUGAUGCAGCGACGCCGCGUGAGCGAUGAAGCCCUUCGGGGUGUAAAGCUCUUUCGGCAGGGAAGAUAGUGACGGUACCUGCAGAAGCAGCUGCGGCUAACUACGUGCCAGCAGCCGCGGUAAUACGUAGGCAGCGAGCGUUGUUCGGAGUUACUGGGCGUAAAGGGUGUGUAGGCGGUUGUUUAAGUUUGGUGUGAAAUCUCCCGGCUCAACUGGGAGGGUGCGCCGAAUACUGAAUGACUUCGAGUGCGGGAGAGGAAAGUGGAAUUCCUGGUGUAGCGGUGAAAUGCGUAGAUAUCAGGAGGAACACCGGUGGUGUAGACGGCUUUCUGGACCGUAACUGACGCUGAGACACGAAAGCGUGGGUAGCAAACAGGAUUAGAUACCCUGGUAGUCCACGCCCUAAACGAUGCAUAUUUGGUGUGGGCAGUUCAUUCUGUCCGUGCCGGAGCUAACGCGUUAAAUA
rnacentral:rRNA from 1 species